CAGCAGCCGCGGGAAUACGAAGGGUGCAAGCGUUAAUCGGAGUUACUGGGCGUAAAGCGUGCGUAGGCGGUGAGUUAAGUCUGCUGUGAAAUCCCCGGGCUCAACCUGGGAAUUGCAGUGGAUACUGGGUCACUAGAGUGUGGUAGAGGAUAGUGGAAUUUCCGGUGUAGCAGUGAAAUGCGUAGAGAUCGGAAGGAACAUCUGUGGCGAAGGCGACUAUCUGGGCCAACACUGACACUGAGGCACGAAAGCGUGGGGAGCAAACAGGAUUAGAUACCCCGGUAGUCCCUGUCUCUUAUAC
rnacentral:rRNA from 1 species